rnacentral:rRNA from 1 species
AUUGAACGCUGGCGGCAUGCCUUACACAUGCAAGUCGAACGGUAACAGGUCUUCGAACGCUGACGAGUGGCGAACGGGUGAGUAAUACAUCGGAACGUGCCCAGUCGUGGGGGAUAACUACUCGAAAGAGUAGCUAAUACCGCAUCCGAUCUGAGGAUGAAAGCGGGGGACCUUCGGGCCUCGCGGGAUUGGAGCGGCCGAUGGCAGAUUAGGUAGUUGGUGGGAUAAAAGCUUACCAAGCCGACGAUCUGUAGCUGGUCUGAGAGGACGACCAGCCACACUGGGACUGAGACACGGCCCAGACUCCUACGGGAGGCAGCAGUGGGGAAUUUUGGACAAUGGGCGAAAGCCUGAUCCAGCAAUGCCGCGUGCAGGAUGAAGGCCUUCGGGUUGUAAACUGCUUUUGUACGGAACGAAAAAGCUCCUUCUAAUACAGGGGGCCCAUGACGGUACCGUAAGAAUAAGCACCGGCUAACUACGUGCCAGCAGCCGCGGUAA